rnacentral:misc_RNA from 1 species
GAUGAAGAACGUAGCGAAAUGCGAUAAGUAGUGUGAAUUGCAGAAUUCAGUGAAUCAUCGAAUCUUUGAACGCACAUUGCGCCCCCUGGUAUUCCGGGGGGCAUGCCUGUCCGAGCGUCAUUACAACCCUCAAGCUCAGCUUGGUGUUGGGCCCCGCCGCCCCGGCGGGCCCUAAAGUCAGUGGCGGUGCCGUCCGGCUCCGAGCGUAGUAAUUCUUCUCGCUCUGGAGGUCCGGUCGUGUGCUCGCCAGCAACCCCCAAUUUUUUUCAGGUUGACCUCGGAUCAGGUAGGGAUACCCGCUGAACUUAAGCAUAUCAAUAAGCGGGGA